rnacentral:ncRNA from 1 species
UACAACACGAAGAUUGGGAAUAGUAAAAUCAAUGACUGUUAGUAGAGAGCACAUGGUUGGUGAAAAUGUGUACAGCAAGAUUUGAACUCGCCUAGGAGUGUGUGAUUUCUGAACAUCAGUAAGAAAUUCCGGUAGUUUCCGUUAUCACUUUGAGUUUUUUACAGGACGAGUGACUGUAAAAAAGAAGAUAGGUGGUACCGCGUAAAGAAAAAAGAGACGCCCUAUAA